CAACACUGAUCAGUCAGCCAUAUUGUUUUGUCGUGAGGUGAUCCGUCGCUGUAAACAAUUUAUUGUUUUUAUUCGUUUAUUUUCUGUUUCAGUUAGUAAUUAACGAUCUAGAAUGAAAUGUUGUUUUAGAAUUUCAUUGUGACCAUGGUGAAGUUAACUUUUCUGUGUCCUUAAACGUCUUAAGUGGUGAGAAUGUGGCGGUACUUGUUUUUCGUUUUCCUUGCUUUUAUGGUACAUAGUACUGAUGCUGUGAGAUGGCACGAUCAUCAGCUCUGUGGGAAUACCACACAGAGGGCCCGUGGGUGUACUACUCAGAUUCUGGGCCGUGAACAUGCAGACAUAGAUUCAUGUACCAUAGAAACCUUCCCAGCAAAUAGUCAAGAAUGCAAAAAAAUGCAAUUCAGUCCGAUCGACUCCAAUGCUUUCAUAGGAGGCGUAAAUUUGAAGCCCUACAUACUCUCGGACCGUCAGUCUGGAUACUCUGUCAAUUACACUGUUCUUAAUAUUACUUUUACCAAUAUCAAGUGGAAAACUAUGAAAUUCCGUUUCCAACUGGCAAAACCGAAGCAUUUGCAGAACCAUUGUAGAAACAUAGUACUUUCGAAUGAGGUGACCGUUAAUGAUCAAUCAGUGCUGUACUACGAUUGCUAUUGGUCCACAACAGAUGGCAAUUAUACGGGCCAGAGUCACUACUUAGACUUCGAAGCUACGGAUGAAAAUAGAGUCGUCAAUAGGGGACAAUAUUACUUCAAUAUACCAUCGGCACAAAUGCUAAGCCCAACCGUAACAGAAGAAGAGUGGCUGCCGUUCCUCUAUUUAGAGAUCCUUAAUGACCGAAUGCGACUUCACAUCAACCCACCUCCACCACAACUAAACAUCGCCGGAUAUGAAAUCAAAGUCAUGAAAGAAGCAGAUAAAGGCACUCAAGUGGACAAAGUAACAAUAUUGAAACUUAAAAACACUACUAAAGAUGUAAUGUAUGAUUAUAGUCUACUCAAUAAUGGAUCAUACAACUUCGUUGUCACCCCCCUUCAUGCGAAAUGUCAAGCCAUUGGAGGGAAGUGCCUCAGUGUAGAAAGUCCGAAAAUUGUGAUCACCAGCGAAAUUCGAAGUCUAAACGUAUGUAUAGCAAGCAUAACGGCUCUUCUAGUGGCCACCUUGUUUGCAUACUACAUCGUCUUACGAGUCAUCCGGCGGUAUUGGUGCAAAGAUUACGGCCUUGCUUUGGUUCCAGGUAAGAUCCCAGCGCCCACCCAAGUACUGGUCAUCUACUCGCCGGUGAAUAGGCUGCACGCUGAAUGCGUCACGUCCUUCGUCACCUACCUCCGUUCGGAGUACGGAUUCGACGUCAUGUUUGAUGGAGACAUCUCUGCCACUUCCCAUGGAGACCCCUACAUAUGGGCCGAGGAAGCGUUCAGGUUGGCCAGCCAUGUCAUGUACAUCGUCGGCCCAACCGAGGAAGCGAACAUUUACAACAACAUAUAUGAUAAACCAAUCAUAAACGCACAUAGAAACGUCGACAAGCUACUCCUAACUCGCUUGAGGUCGGACCGAGUCGCCAAAAACUGUAAGGAUGUUCUGAACGUAUUUUUCGAGCAUUCCGACGGAGAGGUGCCGAUCGAAACUAAACAUGCCAAGGUAUUCUUCCUACUCAAGGAUUGGCAGAAGCUAAUAGCUUAUCUGUCGAAGAAUCUGCUGCCCAAACAACAUAUCAUGAGGACGGAAAAGGGCAAGAACUUCUUAGACGAUUUGGCUAAAGCGAAAAAAGUAUUGAGUGAACGACAUCAAUGUUAGUGCGCAAUAAGGGACUAAAUAUCCAGCGAUGUGCCGGUCUCGGGAAUGUUCCCGACAGUAAAAAGGCGCAAAACGUAUGUAUUAAUUUGAAAAAGGAAAGCAGCCAUUUUUUUUUUCUUUUGCCCAUUUGAGGGUCAGGCUAAGAUCAUAAGACCAUGCUGCCUAGUCUUCAGUACAUUUCCUUUGAUGUUCAAUUUCCAUAUGAAAGGUUUUCCGUAUGGAAAGCAGCCAGUGUCAUUGCUAUUAAAGAGUUUUUACUCGUUUUUUAGUUCCCGGGAACGGCAUGUCACUGUACAUAUCCAUAGAGAUUUAAGACGAAGUAGAUGUUUAGUUGUUUAAUACAUUUACGUGUUUGAAAUUCUAAAAUAUUGGGUGUCCUGGGCGUAUUUUUAUCGGUGAUUCAAAAGGCGGUACUAUAAUAAUAAACAUUAAAUUGUCUUAUGACACGACUUCUAGAUAAGGACCUUAUCUGCUUCCUUUUGUCGCGAUAAAGUACCCUCAAACUCACAAACAAAAAAAUGAUCAAAUAUUUUUAUGGUUAUUUAUAAUUGUUGUCUGUAUCGCUGGCCCAGUCUAUGCUUGCUCUUCUGUAUUUAAGUAGAUUUUAUAUUUAUUUUCUAUUGAAUAAAUGUGUGUCUACACUCAGCGGGAUCCCCUGUCUGGGAGACAUAAGAGUGAUGCAGAGAAUUAGAUCUGAAUUUGUUCUACUGAAUUAUCCUGAAAACAGAAUUUGUUCCGUUAAAAAAACGGAAAUACAAAGUUUUCUAACCGACCUCCAGCCAGCGGGAUAUUUCCCAAAGUUAAGUCUGAUGAAGUAUAAAUUGGUAUUAACUUUUAGAUCUGUAUUUAUUCUGUUCAACAAAACCAAAAAACUACUUCUGACGUCCUUACUUCAGCUACAAUCAAGCUGCAAUGAAACCUCCAGUCAGCGGACUUUUUCUCUCAAUGACAUUCUUUUGUAACUUUUACACUAAGAUAAUAAAAAUUAACCUAUUUACGACUAUAAUUUCACUUAAAUUACCUAUUCGUACAUCUAGUGCUUAAAUUAAGAAGUAUAGAAUUUGAAAGAUAUUAUGUGGGUAGAAUAUAAAAAAAAACUAUGUAUCAGGUACAAAUUGAAGCUGUGAGAGAAAAAGUCCGCUGACUGGAGGUUUCAUUGCAGCUUGAUUGUAGCUGAAGUAAGGACGUCAGAAGUAGUUUUUUUGUUUUGUUGAACAGAAUAAAUACAGAUCUAAAAGUUAAUACCAAUUUAUACUUCAUCAGACUUAAAUUUGGGAAAUAUCCCGCUAGCUGGAGGUCGGUUAGAAAACUUUGUAUUUCCGUUUUUUUAACGGAACAAAUUCUGUUUUCAGGAUAAUUCAGUAGAACAAAUUCAGAUCUAAUUCUCUGCAUCACUCUUAUGUCUCCCAGACAGGGGAUCCCGCUGAGUGUAGACACAUUGAAUAAAUGUACAAUGUUUAUACGGCUAUGCAGAUUGGUAAUCAGUAAUCGCUCUUAUAUUUAUUUAACUUUUUUAUUUGAUCUUUCAACUUACUAUUUUACUAAUGUUAUAAUAUAAAUGUUUUUCUACACAAAAUGUUUAUUGGUGAUGGCAACAUUAAUUUUGUCUAUGUGUGCCAUAAGAUACCUAUACAAUUUGAUUUGUGAGUGGUUUACAUUAUCGUAUUUAGGCCAUUUUGGCUUUAGAGCAUAAAAGAAAACCAAUGUACAUCUUGAGCGAGCCAAUUUGGGUCGACGUUGGAAUGAAAGAAAGAGAAAUUAUUUGACGAUUUAGAAAUGACGUCACACACAUUUGUAACAAUACAAUAAUAUCAGAUUUAAAACUUACUUACACAAAAUAAAAAUUAAAAAAAAGAUGCUGGUCGAACUGAUCAUAACCAUAUGACCAUAAUGGUGGUGAACGUAAACCCAACAACCCAGCGUUGACGACUAUAUCCCAAUUGGGGUAGUCAGAGGUACAUCGACCGCAAGGUGAAUUAAGUACCCACGCCUCACCGAGCUAAUUUAUUAAAUAAGUUUUCCAAAUGAUUUAAACAUUCCUUGUUUGUGUAAAAUUAAAAUGUUAAAUUAUUUUUGUAAGAUCUAGCGCACACUGCAUAUUAAUAUUGUCAUACAUAAAAGUUGGUACAUUUUAUAAAAUAGGAGUGCGUUCAUUGAACGAAUUUAUAAAAGUUAAGAUCAGCAUGUGGUCGAAUUUGACAGCGAGAUUUUCUCGCGAGACUAGCGCACAUAUGCGGGAAAAUUCGACCUUAUGUGCUUAGCAAUAAGAUCACGGACAAAAAAGUACUCUGCCCGUGUGUUAUGUUUAGCUAAAAGCUGCUGUAUCAUGCAAGUUAACUAAGUUAUUUUAUACUUACCUAUAUACGACCGUCAUAAUGUGAGUCCUCUGCCCUCGUUAACUUAAAAACACUAUAAAAUGCACUUCGUGACAUAAAGCGCCAUGGUGUGUGCACUAAGGGUUUUACUAGACCAAUCGACCGACAGCAUCGAUCGAUGAUGGAAUGGAUUAGUCGACGUCGAUCGCUAAUUUCUACCAGACCAAUCGAUCGAUUUCAAACUAUGCCCGAAGCUUUAUUUGAUGAUAUUGGUCUUAGGCGCAUGAUGGAAGAGACGUAAGAGGAAGACAUGAAUCCUCGUGUGGAUAGUGAUAUCAAGGACCGGUAUCUUCAACCCUGCGGGCUUAGCACCGUAAGCGCGCGAGUCUUUCUAGCCGCGACAGAGAUCAUCUGUCUCUUUCUAUGCAGUACUGUGUGAGAGUGACAGGUGACGUAAAAAAAAUCGGGUGGAUUUCCCAUAUACAGGGUGUUAGUGACAUCGUAACGAAAACUUCGAGGGAUGAUUCAGGCCAUGAUUCUGAGUUGAUAUCAAGUGGAAUUUUCCGUAGCAAAAGUAUGGAAUGGAAAAUAAUUUAAGAAAACACAAAAAUUUUCAUGAAUUUUCCGACAGGAAAUUCCACUUAAUAUCAACUCAGAAUCAUGGUCUAAAUCAUCCCCCUCAGUAUUCGUUACGGUGUCACUAACACCCAUACCUACUUGUAUGGCUACCUGUAUGUACUGGUACGGGGUGUAGUGUAAGUGACAUCGUAACAAAUACAGACGGGGCUGAUUUAGCUAGUUACAAGUGGAAUUUUUGAUCGCAAAAGUAUAGAAUUGAAAAUAAUUAAAAAAAAAAAGACAUGAAUUUUGCGACGGAAAAUUCCACUUGAUUUUAACUCAGAAUCAUGGUCUGAAUCAUCCCCCUCAGUAUUCGUUACGAUGUCACUAACACCCAGUAUACAGAUGGGCAAGAAGGGUAAAUAAAUGAGUAUAAUUGGGUAGUAUCCUAGGUCAAAGAUAAAUUGUGAAAUUCUGAUUAUUACAAAAUAAAGACAGAUCUAAAGGCAAAAACAACUUUUCUUUUUUACGUCUCCGCCUUACGCUUCUUCCGUCUGUCUUACGCCUUAGGCCGCGACUUCAAAGCGUUUUCGUCGAGAAAACAUCUUACAUGGUCAAAAACCAAUGUUAUGCUAGGAUCAAGUCACAUCUGUCAGCACGUUAUAGCAUGCUCUAGCGUACGAUAUCGCCUCGUUGAUUCUGACGCGUGUGGUCGCUCUCUCUCUCUGUCUAACAAAUUACGGCUCUGAGUAACAGAAAAAGAUAGAUAUAGCGAUGAGGUGCUGACAGGUGAGGUUUCACCCUUAGUGGAGCUACUUAUCAAUUGAAUUGUAUAUUGUCUUGAUGAUCUCAAUUCCAAAACAGUUGGAGUAUUCGUGUUCUACAUACAGGACUUUCAAAGCUCAAUGUUAUAACUUGUGAUGUAUUUUUAUAUAAUAAAAUCGUACGUAUUACAAAUAA
rnacentral:misc_RNA from 1 species